GACGAACGCUGGCGGCGUGCCUAAUACAUGCAAGUAGGACGCAGUUGCGAACGGGUGAGUAACGCGUAGGUCACUGCCUAUUAGAGGGGGAUAACUAUUGGAAAUGAUAGCUAAUACCGCAUACUGAUAGAUGGACCUGCGUUGUAUUAGCUAGUCGGAUGGGUACUGGCCUACCUAGGCGACGAAACAUAGCCGACCUGAGGUGGUGGUCGGGCAAACUGGGACUGGUACAACGCCCAGACUCCUUCGGGAGGCAACAGGAGGGGAUCUUCGGCAAUGGGGGGAACGCUGACCGAGCCAAGCCGCGUGAGUGAAGAAGGGUUUCGGAGCGUAAAGCUCUGUUCUUAAGGAAGCGGUACUUAACCAGAAAGGGACGGCUAACUACGUGCCAGCAGCCGCGGUAAUAC
rnacentral:rRNA from 1 species